CUUGGUAAUUGCUGCCUCUUGAGUACAGCUCCACUGAGCUAACCAAACAGGAUCGGUUGUUUGCUUGGAAUGACACUCUUCCCACAAAGUUUUUCAGCAAAAAUGUGCCUAUGUGGUCUGGAGUGUCCCUUUAAAUGUCUUUUAAGUUGUGUAUCAUGCUCUGGGAAUACUUGUCAUAUUGGUAAGUGUUCUAUUUUACAGCAGUGUAGCUGUGAUUUAUUAUUUCUAAAAGAUCUGGGGUGACACGGUUGUACAUAACUGUUCCUAUACCAACAUGCGUUCUCUUUUACGUCGAGAAGG